rnacentral:rRNA from 1 species
UACAGAGGUCCCAAACGUUGCUCGGAAUCACUGGGCGUAAAGGGUGCGUAGGCGGGUCUUUAAGUCAGAGGUGAAAUCCUGGAGCUCAACUCCAGAACUGCCUUUGAUACUGAAGAUCUUGAGUUCGGGAGAGGUGAGUGGAACUGCGAGUGUAGAGGUGAAAUUCGUAGAUAUUCGCAAGAACACCAGUGGCGAAGGCGGCUCACUGGCCCGAUACUGACGCUGAGGCACGAAAGCGUGGGGAGCAAACAGG